rnacentral:rRNA from 1 species
GACGAACGCUGGCGGCGUGCCUAACACAUGCAAGUCGAACGGAAAGGCCCGGCUUUUGUGCGGUGGUCGAGUGGCGAAGGGGGGAGUAACACGUGAGUAACCUAUACCUGACCGAGGGAGAUCUUCAUGAAACAGGGGCUCUUACAGCAUAGGAUCUAUUGCUCCUUGGUGGGCGUUGGUUAGAUUCGGUGGUUGGGGAUGGACUAGCGGCUUAUGAGCUUGAUGGUGGGGUAGGGGGUUAGCAAGGCUUGGACGGCUAGCCGGCCUGGGCGGGUGACCGGCCACAUUACACCUGGGAUACGGCCCAGACUCGUACGGGACGCAACGGUGGGGAGUAUUACACAGUAGGCGGGAGCCAGAUGUAGCAACGCCGCGUGCGGGAAGACGUCCUUCGGGUUGUGAACUAAUGUCGUCUUAGACGAGGCGUGAGUGACGGUACCGGGUAAAGAAGCACCGGCUAACUACGUG